GACGAACGCUGGCGGCGUGCUUAACACAUGCAAGUCGAACGGAAAGGCCCUGCUUUUGUGGGGUGCUCGAGUGGCGAACGGGUGAGUAACACGUGAGUAACCUGCCCUUGACUUUGGUAUAACUUCAGGAAACUGGGGCUAAUACCUGAUAGGAGCUCCUGCUGCAUGGUGGGGGUUGGAAAGUUUCGGCGGUUGGGGAUGGACUCGCGGCUUAUCAGCUUGUUGGUGGGGUAGUGGCUUACCAAGGCUUUGACGGGUAGCCGGCCUGAGAGGGUGACCGGGAAAAUUGGGACAGAGAUACGGCCCAGACUGCUACGGGAGGCAGUAGAGGGGAAUAGUGAACAAGGGGCGGAAGCGUGAUGCAGCAAAGCGGGGUGCGGGAUGAGGGACUUCGGGUUGUAAACCGCUUUGGCGUGUGACGAAGCGUGGGUGACGGUAAUGGGUAAAGAAGCACCGGCUAACUAGGU
rnacentral:rRNA from 1 species